AUAAUUCCUCACCGUGCCCUAUUCCUCUCUAAUCGUCGAAUCCUUCCUCACCUUAUCUCGUCGCCGCCCCGAUUCUUCCUCCUCUCUCACGCCGUGUUUACUCUCUGCUCUUCUUCUUCUCCUCAUCUUCUCCAACCGGUGCCCCUUUCUCUUCUUCCGCGUCAUCUUCCCUCCUCUGCCGUCGUCUCCUCGUCGCGGAGGUCCUCACCACGCCGAUUGUCACGAGAGCACCGCCGACAGCAGUCUUUCUCUCCGCGAGCCUCACCAACACCAAGCUCUCUGGGCUAUCAGGCGGCCCGAUCCUCUUCUACUUUUCCCCUUGCGUCUCUGCCCUAGAUGCAGCCGACGUCAUCGCAUCCGACCACAGUACCUGCAAUUUUGGGCGGCUAGCGUCGCCGCCAUCUCUUUCACCGGCUGCCACUUCUUCCUCUUCCAUCUGCCACCGUCGGAGAGCUGAGUACACAGGAGAGUAGGGUUGUUCUUCCGCGUAUCAGCAGUUGCGAGGGGUUACCACGCGUUGCCCCCUUCAAUUGUGCCAUGGCCAUCCGGUCAGCCACAAGGAGAUCCAUUGCUGCGGUGACCCCAUUUGUGCUUGGAUUUGUGCCACUAUCGUGUAUCUGUGAAUUCUGAGGCGGUGAGGGUUGUUGGACAGAUUUACCAUCGUCGAAAGAGCCACAAACUGCUGAUAAGGAUUUUCUCAACAAAAUUGGUUGGUUCAUUAAUCUGUACAAGAGAAGCAAUUUAUCUCAUGGAAUUCGAAGACAGGGAGGGCAAAAGAAGAAAAUGAAGGCAUGCAUGUUAUUAGCUCGAGGAUAGAGGAACAAAUUAUUGAAAGAGAAAAAAAACUUAUUAUUAUAGAGGGAAGAAAAUCUCAAGGAGAUGAUUUGGAAAUGAUUCAAGAAAUGGAAUAUACAAAUCAUUUAUAUCUAGGAAAAUUUGAUCUUUAUAGUUUGAUUAUUGGUCAAAUUUGUUUGGAUAAUGUAAAUAUUUAUUUAUUUUAAUGUUAAUUGUAUAAUACAUUUGGAAUUAGAAGUUAUUUCUUUUUAAUAAUUUUAAUUUAUUUGAAAUGAAGAAUUAU